GCUCGCUUAGCUCAGUUGGUUAGAGCGUGGUGCUAAUAACGCCAAGGCCACAGGUUCGACCCCUGUAGUGAGCA
rfam:Absidia repens strain NRRL 1336 BCR42scaffold_18, whole genome shotgun sequence.